UACGUAUGGAGCAAGCGUUAUCCGGAUUUACUGGGUGUAAAGGGAGUGUAGGUGGCCAGGCAAGUCAGAAGUGAAAGCCCGGGGCUCAACCUCGGGACUGCUUUUGAAACUGCAGGGCUAGAGUGCAGGAGGGGCAAGUGGAAUUCCUAGUGUAGCGGUGAAAUGCGUAGAUAUUAGGAGGAACACCAGUGGCGAAGGCGGCUUGCUGGACUGUAACUGACACUGAGGCUCGAAAGCGUGGGGAGCAAACAGG
rnacentral:rRNA from 1 species